rnacentral:rRNA from 1 species
AGUGAACGCUGGCGGCAGGCCUAACACAUGCAAGUCGAACGGCAGCACAGGAGAGCUUUGCUCUCUGGGUGGCGAGUGGCGGACGGGUGAGGAAUAUAUCGGAAUCUACCCUUUCGUGGGGGAUAACGUAGGGAAACUUACGCUAAUACCGCAUACGAACUGAGGUUGAAAGCGGCGGACCGCAAGGCGUCGCGCGGAUGGAUGAGCCGAUAUCCGAUUAGCUAGUUGGCGGGGUAAAGGCCCACCAAGGCGACGAUCGGUAGCUGGUCUGAGAGGAUGAUCAGCCACACUGGGACUGAGACACGGCCCAGACUCCUACGGGAGGCAGCAGUGGGGAAUUUUGGACAAUGGGCGCAAGCCUGAUCCAGCAAUGCCGCGUGCAGGAAGAAGGCCUUCGGGUUGUAAACUGCUUUUGUACGGAGCGAAAAGGCUCUCUCUAAUACAGGGGGCUCAUGACGGUACCGUAAGAAUAAGCACCGGCUAACUACGUG